ACUCAAAACCUUAAGCUAUGAUGAAGAAAAAGAAUAUGAGAGAAAAAUAGCUUUGGGACUCAAACCCUAGGCUCUGAUACCAUGUUGAAAUUUAGAAUGAUAAAAAAGAUGGGAGAAAAUAAUAGCAGAAGGAUUUACAUGGUUUGGCUACCGAGAGCUUAUGUUCACAGACGCAAUCUCAAAAGGGCUACAUUUCAUUCACUUUUGUGUUUACAUAAUACAUAAUACUUCAUAUUUAUAAUGGAAGAUACAAGAUGUAUAUGACAUCCUAUUAAUAACCAUAAAUCUCUCCUUUACAUAAACUUUAAUCAAGCCAUUGAUUUUGCU
rnacentral:misc_RNA from 1 species